AAUGCUAUUUGAUCACCGUCACGAGAUUUGACUAUAGCUAAUCAAUCUCCUGCUUUCAUGGAGUUUGGAAUCUUAAUGCUAUCUUAGAGCGGAUCUAGAAAUCCCCAGGUAGUGGUAGUUGGCUUGGUGAAAUCCGAUAAUCGAUUGGCUUUAGAAAGGCGAAAGGCGGCUUGCCCAACCUAGACAUUGUAACUGAAAGUCCUGCCUACUUCUCUUCUAGGCUUAGGGUAGUCCUAGACUACCUUCUUCUUUGCUGGCUUGGGAAAGAC
rnacentral:lncRNA from 1 species